rnacentral:lncRNA from 1 species
UAUCUAUGGAUAGGUUCUCAAUCAAUUAUUUUUUUAAAUAAUUUUUAGUAAUUAAUUUUACCUCACAUUUUAUUUCAGUAGGUGAUGGGCCUCCCCUGAAAGUUUCGAUUAGGUCAAACUAUUAAUAUGAACCUACUCAAUAUUUUUAACUAAUAAAUGAUCUAGUUCGAGGAUGGCUCGAUCAACCUAACCAUCAUCAGAUAGUAUAACAGAGUCAUCAUGUGAUGAAUGAUAAUCUAUCAUUCAGAGAGAACACC